GGCAAGGCAUUAUGGGAAGAGCAGGCAUUUUAUUCUCCAAACGGCUGUGUCUGGAGCGGAAGCUCUCCGCGCUUCUCAAUGCGAGAGUGCAUCCCCUGGUGCUCAGUUGCCAACAGAUGAAGUUGGAGUAAACGCGGGGCAGCCUGACAUGAGGAACAACACAAGCUACAAUAAACACCAUAGUAUCCCCACUACUUCACUGGAUGAAUGAAUUAAUAAACAGUUGUCUUCUUCGACUACUUUGUAAAUCUUUAGAGAGAAGAAACUUUCUCUAAUUCAUCAUUUGACCUGAAUAUUCUGAUCUCAAGAGAAAUAUCUAUUAAAAUAUUUAACAUACGAAGUGUUACAAAGUUCUCACAAAUACCUUAUGAGAUAGUUACUAUGAUUAGCACCUACUUUAUAAUAAUAAAAUUGAAGAAAAAGAAGGAAUUAAAGAUGACAAACCCCCAUACCAGGACUUAGCAAAAUACCGGACAUGUAAGAAAGACCCUCAUUUUACUCUGUCAAGCUACUUGACAUACUUACCACAAGGGCACCAUGCUGCCAGACUGGUCCCAGGUGCUUUGGGUGAGACCAGAACAUGUUUGGUAAAACAUCAUGUGGCAUUUUCACAUGCCUCUACACAGACACUCAGACAGCUGGUCUUCGCACAGCGGUGUUACAAGUGCAAUUCCUGAAGUGAGAUAUCUACCUCCUCAUUUCAUCAAACCACUGUGCUAUACUCUGGAUUUUUCUGCCAACAUUGUGGAUUGGAAUGUGUCUGCAAGAAAACCGACAUGAUCACGGGGCUCGCCCUGCUUAUUUCCCUUUUCUCAGCGGUCACGAUCUUAUGUGCUUCUUCCCACUGUCUAAAAUAAGUCAUUUUAUAUCAUUUGUUCAGUGUUUACUGUAGGAGGUGACAAUCAAGGUAUCCAAGCAGAGAGGAGCUAAUGAGGUGGAUAUUCAUAACUGGACCCAGAAAUGAUGCAAAGAAGAAUAACAACAAUGAAAACAAGUCUUAUGUUUAAUUGUUUUAUAAACUCCAUUUUGAUAGAAAAUCUGAAAGUCCAUUUGACAGUUGAAUCUACUCCACAAACAAUGCCAUAUGAUACAGUAGCAAUAUGAGUAGAAGAGAGGAACAGCACGAUUUAAUGCAUGGAGAGAACAAAUGGGCAUUAACUAUAUCAUUCCAGCAGAAACACUCCUAAAGUCUUAACCGAAGAAGGGUGUGCAGAGGAAAUGGCAGGCCAAUUAACACUGAUUAUAGCAGCUGCAAAUAUGUGUGGCUACCUUCAUGCUUCAAUGAUGCUGUAAUUAUGUUUCUAAGAAAUGCUCUAUGCAGGCAACCUCAUUCCUACUUCAGUCCUGCUGUUUAUUUCCUGGCAUUUUAAUAUGCACUGUUACGAGUGUAGUAAUACAUGUUACACUACAUAAUGGGGUACCCCUGCCGAUCUGCCAUGAAAGUCACAGACUUUUUAAAAGAUCAUUUUACCCAUUUUCUUUCUAUUCUAGGAAAAGUUCUACCAGUCUUUAUCAAAUCAAUUUGUGCUAACAUGGCACUUUUACAAAUUUAACAUCUUACAUAUAAAUCCACUGCCUGACCUUAAGACUUAGGGUGAAAUUGGGAAAUAAUGAUUAGGGAUGAUCUGCCUAUA